GCGAGCGCCCGGGUGACCUGUACUGGCCGGGCGCGGUUUGCGGACGCUCUCCACUGCCGGCCGCGGCCUGGCAGGCGGCGUGUCGUCAUCUCUUUCGUCACCUUCGUCAUUCUGCUCCUGCGUUCGCAGGGUCCCGGGACACCCGGCCAGGAGGCGCCCCCUAGGCAUCCCAGGUGUGGAUGCGACCUCUGAGUGCUACGAGGGCUCGGGAAGUGCGCGCUGAUCUCCAGGGGGAAGCGGGCCCUGUGGCUAGUGGGCGCCGGGCCGGGCGAGGGGGCGGGGAACCUAGACUGAAGGAGUGGACCCCAGUGUCCACAAAUGUUCCCGCCCCGGAAUCGCGGUGACGCUUCCUGGGGUAGUUGCAGUUGGCCGAGAGCUGGUGCCCCGUGCGGAGGGAUCCGGUGGGGGUGUGAACGUGGGGUGUAAACCCGAGCACAGGCAGCCGCGAGUGACUUUCAGUAUUUUGGGGCAAUAAGGUUUUCAGUGUUGACAAACGACUGUCAAUCACUAGGAAACUCUCUCAAUUCUGCUUUCAAUGGGUAGGCUACGCAGCACUUUUCCAUGACAGAUUGAAUAAUGUCAUAUCAGUAUAUAACAUCAGCUAGAAUAUGAACUUUGGACAAGAGGUUUAUAGAUAAAAAGCUAUAAAGAAAGGAUUUUCAAAUAACUUUCUGCCACAAGAUUGCAUUCAGCUUUAAAAAAUUCCAAUUUUGGAUGUAAAACCCCUGCGUGUAAUUUAAUACUAAUCAUCUGGUUGUUAAACUGGUUUUGCCCUUACUUUUUUCUUACACUACACUACCAGGGCUUAAUGGAAGGAAAAUAAAUAUAAACUGGAGUCCCUCCUGCCUUCCAGUAAAUGUUGUCACACUGAAGUUGCAUCAGUCUGUGGGCAACAUUUUCAUUUCAGCCAACCAGUUGCAGGUUCGGAUUAUGAAAAGGCAACAUAGGUAUUUCCUGUGGAUCCAUUUAAAACAGGUGUCCUCUUCAAAUAGUCUCUGAGUCAGAGGAUGUGGAGGGAGGGCUGGUGGGGAGAAGCAUAGUGCUAGAGGUAAAGAGAAAGUAGCAAGCAAGCCAUGGAUGUUUUCCUGAAUGUUUCCAAUCAAGCUCUAAACUAAAAUGAAGAGACCCACUAGAUUUUUUUAAUUGGCAUUAUAAUUAUGCUAAUAGAACUGAUGUCAGAAGAAGAUUCUACUAGCAUUAAAACGAUGUAUUAUUGAUGAUUUUUGGUUAAAUCUUAAUGUAAAAGUUGGCUUUAUUUUUUUAAUUGUGCAUCCUUGGUACAUGGUUAUAAACUGCCAAAAAAAUAAAAAUAAAAAAGAGUAGAUCUAUUGAAGAUCUACCUACCUUAAUAAUGUGUCUGGAAUUGGUUCCUGCCGGUAGAUUAGUGGUCUCAGUGACUUCAAGAAUGAAGCGGCAGACCUUGGUGGUAAGUGUUACAGCUCUUAAAGAUGGCACAGACCCAGAGUGAGCGAUAGCAAGGUUUAUUGUGAAGAGUGAAAGGACAAAGCUUCCACAGCAUGAAAGGGGACUGGAGCGGGUUGCUGCUGCUGGCUGGGGUGGCCAGCUU
rnacentral:lncRNA from 1 species